rnacentral:snoRNA from 1 species
AGCCCAUGGUGAGAGCAUGCUCUCAAAAGGUCCUUGUAUCUCUCCCAUGCAUCAUAGAGUGUCUCUAUAUCCAUCUGUACAAAAGAAGAGAUAUCAUUCCUCAAUUU